rnacentral:rRNA from 1 species
UACGUAGGGUGCAAGCGUUGUCCGGAAUUAUUGGGCGUAAAGAGCUUGUAGGCGGUUUGUCGCGUCUGCUGUGAAAUUUCGGGGCUCAACCCCGAGCCUGCAGUGGAUACGGGCAGACUAGAGGUAGGUAGGGGAGAAUGGAAUUCCCGGUGUAGCGGUGAAAUGCGCAGAUAUCAGGAGGAACACCGGUGGCGAAGGCGGGUCUCUGGGCCGUAACUGACGCUGAGGAGCGAAAGCAUGGGGAGCGAACAGG